GACAGAGGCCUCAAGCGUUAGGCGGAAUCACUGGGCUUAAAGCGUGUGUAGGCGGAUCGUUAAGUACCUUGUGAAAUCCCACGGCUCACCCGUGGAACUGCUGGGGUAUACUGGCGGUCUUGGGCCAACUAGGGGCAGCUGGAACAGCGGUGGAGCGGUGAAAUGCGUAGAUAUCGGCUUGGAACGCCGGAAGGUGAAAACAGGCUGCUGGGGUUGUGCCGA
rnacentral:rRNA from 1 species